CAAUAGCGUAUAUUAAAGUUGUUGCAGUUAAAAAGCUCGUAGUUGGAUUUCUGGCAGGAGCGACCGGUCACACACUCUGUGUGUGAACUUGUGUUGUCUCUGGCCAUCCUUGGGGAGAUCCUGUUUGGCAUUAAGUUGUCGGGCAGGGGACAUCCAUCGUUUACUGUGAAAAAAUUAGAGUGUUUAAAGCAGGCUUAUGCCGUUGAAUAUAUUAGCAUGGAAUAAUAAGAUAGGACUUCGGAACUAUUUUGUUGGUUUGCGUUACGAAGUAAUGAUUAAUAGGGACAGUUGGGGGUAUUCGUAUUUCGUUGUCAGAGGUGAAAUUCUUGGAUUUCCGAAAGACGAACUACUGCAAAAGCAUUUACCAAGGAUGUUUUCAUUAA
rnacentral:rRNA from 1 species